UGACGGAGAAAGAGCAUCUUUGAGCUUCUGAGGGUGAUAGAGGAGGUCAUGGGUCUAGGAACCAGGAUAAGGAAAGGAGAGAUCAAGCUUCUAGACUUGGUGUUUGAUGUCAUGCUCCCAGAGAUCCUGAUCAGCAUCCUGGACGAUGAAGGACUGACCCGGCUACAAGCUGAGUUAUUAAUGGCUAGAGGGAGACUUUUUUAAGUGUAAACCUCCAUUUUGUUUAUUCAUUUUUUGUUUUUGACUCCUAAUUUUGGAAUAUUCUUUUUUAUUUGCUCAUCAUUUUUGUUAAAGCUUCUACCUUUUGUCUUUAUUCUUAAAAGAUUUAAUAAAGUUAAUUGCAAAUAUGAGAACUUUUAAGUCAA